rnacentral:lncRNA from 1 species
AGCAAUUUGAGAAGGAAGUAGUCAGCAGUGCUAAUCCACAGCCUGACAAGUGUCUGUGUCUUGCCGCAGAGUGGCUCUGUGGAGAGCUGUGGGCCACAGCGUGAGGCGGCAAAGUGAGGGUCCUAAGUAAGCUCUAUGAGAGAAAGACCCCUGUCUGUGAUUUGCUCCCAAGUGCUCAGCACCAAGUCCAGCGUGUGAUGGGUGCUCAAUGAAUCUCCGUGGCAUAGAUGGACAACCUAGCGUGCAGAGAAAGAGGAGGGCAUGAGAAAAUGUGUCUUACCGGUUCAAGUCAGAGCAGUCCAAGGCCUUCAUCGCCAUGGGCACACCACAUCCACCGUAAAUCCCAGUGGAGGACAAGUCAAGUCCACAGACACUCACCACUCACCAAGCCUUCACCAAGACCCAGGCACUUGUGGGACACUCCCAGGACGGCAGCUUACAGUAGAGAGAUGACAUAUUUG